CCCUCCUCGGCGUGGCACUCGCCCUGGCUCUCUGUCCAAGUCCUCGCGUGCGUGCCUCCGCUGCAGCCGUGGCAGCUCUGCACGAGGCUCUUCCCGUGUCCAGGUCAUGCGUUUCCCCAGCUGCACAGUCCGUGUUCCGUUCCCAACACGAGAGCGGGUGUCGUGCAUGCCACCUGCCGACGUCUGCAGCGCGCUGGGCCCCCGUGCGGCUGCAGUGCAUAGACGGUGUAAAGCAGGAUCUCACGGUUUUGAAUUCGGGCUCUCCCAGGGACCAGGAGCAGGAGAAAGCAGCCGAGAGCGAGGCGGGCAGAGCAGGCGCAGCGCCGUCUCUGGCCCUCAGCAUCUUCUACGCCGGCAGAAAGGCCUAUUUGCUGCUUUGUUUGUUUGUUUCUGUUAGUUAUAAAGAAUGUCCCUUUUCUCACCGUACUUUACAAAUAGACUCAAGUUGCUGGCUGGGAGUUUCAGGGAUUUUCAGUCCUUUCUGCUACGUGGGAAGAAAUUGGGGUUUGGGGGAGGAGUGGUAUUGUUAAAAAAGCCGCCUGCGUUUCCGCACUGUCCGUGCUGACUUGCCGGGUCUCGUGUCUGGACAGCAGACCGCAGCGGGGCCGGGAAGGGCGACCUGCAGUCCACGUUGCUGGAAGGGCACGGCUCGGCCCCACCCGACCUGGACCUCUCCGCCAUCAACGAGAAAAGUGCAGUCAAAAAGACUCCACAAUUAGAAAAAACAUCAGAGAAAACGGCAUCGACGUCAUUUUCUGCCCCUCGGAAAAAGAGCCCGACCCGGUCCGAAGAGAUGGAGAUGAUGGAGUCGCAGACGCUGCUGCUGACUCUGCUGGCGGUCAAGGUGAGAGCAGCCCUUGGUCGCGUGUGCCGGGUGCCAUGCGGUCUCGAUGACCCGGGGAGGGAGUCCCCUCCAGCCUGAGCUUUCGUUUCCUGUUUAACAGAUGGAAAAGGGUCUUGCUCGGUUCGAAGAAGAGGCCGAAAAACACUUAUUAAAACUGUGCAAAGAGAAGGAGGAGCUGCAGAGAAAGACCCACGAGCUGCGGCGCAGACUUCUCCUCUGUCAGAAGAAGCGGGAGCUGGAGGAGGCGCUUGACGCCCAGACGCCCUGCAGUCUGAAUUGGAGACCACUCAGAAGCUCCUGGAAGAUCUCGGCAUGGGCACUUCAGAAGAAAACGUGCAGGUGCUGGACCUACUGGGCGAACUCAAGGACGUGCCGUGAAAAAGACCUUGAGCUCCGAAGUAUCUCAGAAA
rnacentral:lncRNA from 1 species